GGGUGGAAUAUUUAAAAAAAAAUUAUCCUACUUUAUUUCAGAUCUAAGAUCUAUUAGAUCUGAUUCUUAUUAUCUGAUAUUUAAUCUAAAAUUAAAUUUAUAACUUAAAAAUUAGAGGAAUACCUCUAGGGUAACUAGAUUAUCCUGUAGAUGAUCGCAGCAAUGCUCGAGGUUCAAAAAUAGCCAUGCAGUCACCUGGCCUCUACUGGUAUCCACUCAAGUAGGAUCUAGAUCAUCUUCUCCUUGC
rnacentral:lncRNA from 1 species